rnacentral:ncRNA from 1 species
GGAUCGUGAGGACGGAAAGACUUCCGUCGCCGGUGUGGAAAUCCAGGAGCUUGUCGACCUGGCACGGUUC